rnacentral:siRNA from 1 species
GAAUGUGAUGCCAUUAUUAUUCA